rnacentral:rRNA from 1 species
CUACGGGAGGCAGCAGUGGGGAAUUUUGGACAAUGGGGGCAACCCUGAUCCAGCCAUUCCGCGUGCAGGAUGAAGGCCUUCGGGUUGUAAACUGCUUUUGUACGGAACGAAAAAGCUCUCUCUAAUACAGGGGGUGAAUGACGGUACCGUAAGAAUAAGCACCGGCUAACUACGUGCCAGCAGCCGCGGUAAUACGUAGGGUGCAAGCGUUAAUCGGAAUUACUGGGCGUAAAGCGUGCGCAGGCGGUUAUGUAAGACAGAGGUGAAAUCCCCGGGCUCAACCUGGGAACUGCCUUUGUGACUGCAUAGCUGGGGUGCGGCAGAGGGGGAUGGAAUUCCGCGUGUAGCAGUGAAAUGCGUAGAUAUGCGGAGGAACACCGAUGGCGAAGGCAAUCCCCUGGGCCUGCACUGACGCUCAUGCACGAAAGCGUGGGGAGCAAACAGGAUUAGAAACCCGAGUAGUCC